rnacentral:rRNA from 1 species
UACGUAGGGUGCAAGCGUUGUCCGGAAUUAUUGGGCGUAAAGAGCUCGUAGGCGGCUUGUCACGUCGACUGUGAAAACCCGGGGCUCAACUCCGGGCCUGCAGUCGAUACGGGCUGGCUUGAGUGCGGUAGGGGAGACUGGAAUUCCUGGUGUAGCGGUGAAAUGCGCAGAUAUCAGGAGGAACACCGGUGGCGAAGGCGGGGUCUCUGGGCCUUACCUGACGCUGAG